GCAAACAGGCUCGUUGCGUCGCGUCGCUCGCAGUGUAGACACGGGGGCGCUCGCUGGCAGCGCGUCUCAUUCUGUCGCUGUCUGACCGGAGCGCUUCACACAAACUGCCCAGUGAGUUUAGACUCCGCGGCUCUGCUGCACGUCUCUACCGCUGCGCUCUCACAGUCGUCUGAGAAAGUAGUGGAAGUCAUUGGGUCUUUUCUGCGUACGUUAGAGGUAGAGUUCAUAUAGAAAGCUGCGCUCAAACGGACUAUUUCCCUGUUGCGGACAGCAGAUAUUGGGAUUACACGUCACAUUCCACAGAACUCACUGACUCUUUGCUUCUUCUCACCUACAUGAUAAGGAGGAAUAUUGUGGCACUUCUUUUGAUUUCUGUGGCAGAUGCCCAACACCCUAUGCCCCUGCCCCAGCAGCACUGAGCAGAGUCCCGUGGACCCCCAUGGCUCCCCCCACGGAGGGAACGCCCCUGGCCCGCUGCCUAGUCCUGCUGCACAGCCUGCUGCUGCUGUUCCCCAGAGGAGUGCCCUGCCGGGGGGCCACACGGGCCCCGGAAUCCCCCUGCCACAGAGCUGAACAUCCACUCAUCUCUCACACAGAAAUCGAGCCUUGGAUCCAUCGGUUCAGAGCAGAGGGCACUGUCGAUUAUUCACAGCUGACCUUUGACCCAGGCCAGAACGAACUAAUCGUGGGCGCAAGAAAUCAUCUCUUCAGGCUACAUUUAGAGGAUCUUUCAUUGAUCCAGGAGGCUGAAUGGCAUUGCGAUGAGUUUACAAAAGGAGCCUGUUUCAGUCGGGGCAAAUCAGAGGAAGAGUGCCAGAAUUACAUCCGUGUUCUACUCGUCAGUGGUGACAGACUGUUUACAUGCGGAACAAAUGCAUUCACUCCUAUUUGCACCAAUCGCACGCUGACUAACCUGACCGAGGUUCAUGAUCAAAUCAGUGGGAUGGCACGGUGUCCCUAUAACCCUCUGCAUAAUUCCACCGCCCUCAUCACUUCCAGCGGGGAGCUCUAUGCCGCCACUGCUAUGGACUUUUCCGGCAGGGACCCGGCAAUCUACCGCAGCCUGGGUGGACUCCCUCCUCUGCGUACUGCUCAAUACAACUCCAAAUGGCUCAAUGAGCCCAACUUCGUUUCCUCCUAUGACAUCGGCAACUUCACCUACUUCUUCUUCCGUGAGAACGCCGUGGAGCAUGACUGUGGCAGGACGGUGUUCUCUCGUGCCGCCCGCGUCUGCAAGAACGACAUCGGUGGACGUUUUCUGCUGGAGGACACCUGGACCACCUUUAUGAAGGCCAGGCUUAAUUGCUCACGGCCGGGCGAGAUUCCAUUCAACUACAAUGAGCUGCAGGGAACCUUUUUCCUGCCUGAGCUUGAGCUCCUCUAUGGGAUUUUCACCACUAAUGUCAACAGCAUUGCCGCAUCAGCAGUGUGCGCCUUCAAUUUUAGCGCUAUUACCCAAGUGUUCAGUGGGCCUUUCAAGUACCAGGAGAACUCACGCUCUGCUUGGCUGCCCUACCCCAAUCCCAACCCUGACUUCCAGUGUGGCACAAUAGAUUACGGCUCUUAUGUGAACUUAACGGAGAGGAAUUUGCAGGAUGCCCAGAAGUUCAUUCUGAUGCAUGAGGUUGUACAGCCUGUCGUUCCUGUGCCGUACUUCAUGGAGGACAAUGUGCGCUUCUCCCAUGUGGCUGUGGAUGUAGUGCAGGGCAAAGACAUGCUCUACCACAUCAUUUAUCUAGCAACAGAUUAUGGCACCAUUAAGAAGGUCCUCUCCCCGCUGAACCAGACCAUGGGCAGCUGUUUGCUGGAUGAGAUUGAGCUUUUCCCUCUGAAGAAGAGGCAGCCAAUCCGCAGCCUGCUUAUACUUCACAGCCGCAGUGAGCUAUUUGUUGGAGUCAGAGACCAGGUCAUCAAAAUCCCCCUGAUGCGCUGCAACUUCCACAAGUCUAGAGAUGCCUGUGUGGGGGCCAGGGAUCCGUACUGCGGCUGGGAUCUGGUGCUCAAGAAAUGCACCACACUGGAAGAGAGCAUCAGCAUGAGCCAAUGGGAGCAGAGCAUCACACGGUGUCCUGUGAGGAAUGUGACUGUGGAUGGUCACUUUGGAUCCUGGUCGGGAUGGAAAGCUUGUAGUCACAGCGAUGGCGGCAGUGUUGGUUCGUGCCAGUGUCGGACUCGAGCCUGUGACAGCCCGAGCCCUCAGUGUGGAGGGCAACCGUGCCAAGGAAUCAGUGUUGAGGUGGCAAACUGCUCCAGAAACGGGGCCUGGACGCCAUGGACGGCCUGGGCUCCUUGCAGCACCAGCUGUGGGAUCGGAUUCCAAGUUCGACAACGUUCCUGCAGCAACCCCACUCCCCGCCAUGGAGGACGCGUUUGUGUGGGCCAGAACCGUGAAGAAAGAUAUUGCAACGAGCACCUGCCCUGCCCCCCUCAUGUUUAUUGGUCAGCGUGGUCUUCAUGGGAACGUUGCACAGUUCCAUGCGGCGGUGGGAUCCAGUCGCGACGACGAACAUGCGAGAAUGGAAACGAAUGCCCUGGAUGCAGCAUUGAAUUCCAGUCCUGUAAUACCCUCCCUUGCCCGGAUCUAAAGAAGACCACUCCUUGGACACCAUGGACACCAGUGAAUAUCUCGGACAAUGGCGGUCACUACGAGCAGCGGUUCAGAUACACCUGUAAGGCGAGAGUGCCGGAGCCCAACCUGCUGGAAGUAGGGAGACAGAGGAUUGAGAUGAGGUACUGCUCCAGCGACGGAUCCACGGGAUGCUCCACGGACGGAGAUUUGCUGCGUUCUGGACGUAUCACUGGAUUGACAGUAAAUGGAGGUUGGUCCACUUGGGGCCCUUGGAGCCAGUGUAGUCGGGAUUGCAGCUCAGGUGUCCGAAAUCGCAAACGCACCUGCUCCAACCCCAAACCCAAAUAUGGGGGAAUCACCUGCCUCGGGCCGGCCCAGGAGUUCCAGGAGUGCAAUACUACACCAUGUCCAGUGGAUGGGAGCUGGUCGUGCUGGUCACCUUGGUCUAAAUGCUCGGUGACAUGCGGAGGAGGCCACUACAUGCGCACACGCACCUGUAACAACCCUCCACCUGCCUACGGAGGUGACAUCUGCCUGGGUUUGCAUACUGAAGAGGCCCUCUGUAACAUCCAACCCUGCCCUGAGAGCUGGUCUGAUUGGUCCGAAUGGUCCCCCUGUGACUCAUCAGGGUCUCAAGUUCGCCUGCGGCACUGUGACGUCCUGUUUCCUACCGGCAACCAGUGCUCUGGCAACAGCAGUGAAACUCGUGCCUGUCUGCCCAUCUCUAACUUCAUCCCAGAAACGUCUGUUGCACGUUCAAGUCAGGAGGAAAGAUGGUGUGGAGACUUCAAUGUGUUCCACAUGAUCGCCGUGGGCCUGAGCAGCUCCAUACUCGGCUGUCUCGUGACUCUACUGGUGUACACUUACUGUCAGAGAUACCAGCAGCAGUCCCAUGAUGCCACGGUCAUUCAUCCCAUCUCUGCAGCCCCCCUCAACACCAGCAUCACCAACCACAUCAACAAACUGGACAAGUACGACUCAGUUGAAGCCAUUAAGCCUGACGUUUCUGUUCUCUUGCCUUUGGACGAGCACCACAUUUGCCAGCCUUUGUCUUCUAACACUGGUGUAGCGCGAGGCCUGGAGAUUUUCUACUAACUCUUGACCGGCAUUACCAUCCUCUCCUCUGACUCUCAGACCUCUCGCGAAUCCCUUCUCCUUCCCCUGACCCUCGUGCUUUCAAUAAGAAUAACUUGAUCCUGGAGGAAAGAAAUAAGUAUUUCAACCCUCAGCUAGCAGGAAAAACAUAUACCAACGCGUACUUCACCGACGUCAACACAUAUGAUGACUUUUAAAAAUGGAUCUGUGAUUCCAGUCAUCUUCACCACAUCAACUUCAGCACCUAGUGUUUUUAUUUUUCUUCGUGGGUUGCCCAGAUAAAUAAAAAGACAUUUUAAGUGGGACCAUUUUAUCAUCAAAUGCCAAUAAAGCUGUACAGAACCAUUUUCAGAGUUAACAAGGACAUCAUGCUCUCCAAUUGUGUGGACAUCACUAAAUGAAAUUGAACAAUGAUGAACAAAUAAAGCAGGCGAUUCGAUUCAACCGUGACGCUGAUAAACUCUCGCUGUAGAGAUGGCACAUGGACGAUUUGCAUGAUUCUCAUCUAAUGUGUUUUUCUUUAUUGUUGCUUUUUGCAUGGUUGGUCGCAUUCCAGUGUUUGUGGGUGGGGCCUGUGUCCUAAAUGGGUGGAGCCUUCUCGGACUGCUUUGUCUCAUGUGCCGAAUCAGAAGCCCCUGUGCCUCACUGAGGACCUACGGUGGUCUCCAGUGCAUCUGCCUGCCCUAAAAUGGGGUUUUGCAAAACACCAUCCAUAUGUAGAUAACCAAGGUCUCUGAAAAAUGUGUUCAUGUAUCUCUCAAUAUAGGAGCACUUGUUAGUCGAGCGCUUAGCAGUGGUGGGAAUCUCUGUGUUUUUGUUGUACAAUACACUUUUCAUGACGCAUAUGUCAGUGUAGCUUUUAUAGAUGAGUCUAUUCUGAAAAAAAAAGAAGUCUUUCAAAGUAACCCUGUUCAGUCACCAAAACAAGACAUGAAUUGUCAUAUUAACAUUUGUCUUUAUGUGGUGUAAGGUCUGCAAAAAAGAGAGAAUGUGAAACAUUACAGGACCUUUUUAUGUAAAACAUUGAACAUUUGAAUAUUAUAAACAUGUUUCUAUUUGUUUAGAUGUUUAGUAGUUCAAGAUUUCAUGAGAAAACAAGUAUCUUUAAAAAAAAAAAACACUGCUUUCAGCACAAAAACUGUUGUUUUUUCAGCUUUAUUUUCUUUCAUUUUCAAACAUUUCAAUGAAUUUACUUAUAACUUAACCAUGCAUUCAUCAUGGAGAGGUGCUUGGGAAUACACUUUUCAAUUUCUACUAAUUCUUUUCUACUUGUAAAACUUUGUUUGCUUGUUUUAUGUGCAUAAAUUAAAAUUGCUUCAUAUA